rnacentral:misc_RNA from 1 species
GAUGAAGACGCAGCGAAAUGCGAUAAGUAAUGUGAAUUGCAGAAUUCAGUGAAUCAUCGAAUCUUUGAACGCACAUUGCGCCCUCUGGUAUUCCGGGGGGCAUGCCUGUUCGAGCGUCAUUAUAACCACUCAAGCUCUCGCUUGGUAUUGGGGUUCGCGGUUCCGCGGCCCCUAAAAUCAGUGGCGGUGCCUGUCGGCUCUACGCGUAGUAAUACUCCUCGCGAUUGAGUCCGGUAGGUCUACUUGCCAGCAACCCCCAAUUUUUACAUGUUGACCUCGGAUCAGGUAGGGAUACCCGCUGAACUUAAGCAUAUCAAUAAGCGGAGGA